rnacentral:rRNA from 1 species
GACGAACGCUGGCGGCGUGCUUAACACAUGCAAGUCGAACGGUGAAGGGGCCUGCUUUUGUGGGCCCUGGAUGAGUGGCGAACGGGUGAGUAACACGUGAGUAACCUGCCCCCUUCUUCUGGAUAACCGCAUGAAAGUGUGGCUAAUACGGAAUAUUCUGGGUCUGUCGCAUGAUGGGUCUGGGAAAGAUUGCGCCUUUGGGUGUUUUUGGUGGGGGAUGGGCUCGCGGCCUAUCAGCUUGUUGGUGGGGUGAUGGCCUACCAAGGCGGUGACGGGUAGCCGGCCUGAGAGGGUGGACGGUCACACUGGGACUGAGACACGGCCCAGACUCCUACGGGAGGCAGCAGUGGGGAAUAUUGCACAAUGGGCGCAAGCCUGAUGCAGCGACGCCGCGUGAGGGAUGGAGGCCUUCGGGUUGUAAACCUCUUUCGCCAGUGAAGCAGGCCUGCUCCUUGUGGGUGGGUUGACGGUAGCUGGAUAAGAAGCGCCGGCUAACUACGUG